UACGUAGGGUGCGAGCGUUAAUCGGAAUUACUGGGCGUAAAGCGUGCGCAGGCGGUUCGUUGUGUCGGCGGUGAAAGCCCCGGGCUUAACCUGGGAAUGGCCGUUGAAACUGGCGAACUGGAGUGUGGCAGAGGGGGGUGGAAUUCCGCGUGUAGCAGUGAAAUGCGUAGAGAUGCGGAGGAACACCGAUGGCGAAGGCAGCCCCCUGGGCUGACACUGACACUGAGGCACGAAAGCGUGGGGAGCAAACAGG
rnacentral:rRNA from 1 species